ncrna:unclassified sequences Streptococcus sRNA SpF59 (ldcC RNA)
CGACCGCCGAUGUACAGUCGGCUGAGGCCAUACGGACAGCCGGGUCGAAUGCCGA